rnacentral:sRNA from 1 species
AAAAUCAAUUAAAAGUAGAAUUGAUGAUAUAUUUAAUUUGCUUAUUUAAUUUUAUUAGUUUUAUUAAUUUAAAAAACAUCAAAUGACAUAUGUCACUUUGUUGUGUGAUGAUGUGUUAUUUAUAUGGAGUGAGUUGACCAACUUUAAUAUAUAUAAUUCUUAAAUUAAUCAUAUGGUUAACUAAUUAUGUGUGUUGAUCAUAAUUUUGUUUACUGUUUUAGCUAGGUUUAACUGUUUAAGUGAUAAAAACUACAGCUGCUAAGAUUUAUUGUGUUUAUAGAAUGACUUACAUUGACCAGUUGAAGGAGAAGGUUCUGCACCGUCAAUAUCUUCUUCAUGCACAGAUGAUGUCUCGAUAGUUUGGUUACAGAGAGACAAAAGCGAAGAACAGGGAGACUUAAUGGCGAAAAAGAGAGAGAUAAUGGUGAAGAAGAACAGAGGAGAGAUUAUGGGGUUUUAUAGAGGAACGACUUCUCUUAUUCCAUUUUGUUACGAUAAGUUGAUAACAUCACUCUCAAAUGGUAACAAAAUGAAUCAUCUCGGAAGUUUCCUUGGUUGUAUAUUUACACAUUUUUUAAAAAUACUUAU